AAGAUCCGAGUUUCUGAUGCCGCGUG
rnacentral:piRNA from 1 species